AAUUAAAAUGCAGUUGAUUUCAAGGCAGUAACACAGAUAAAGAAUCACCAAAACAAUCAAGCUAUAUAUAAAGACUUGCACUCUAAUCAACAAAACAUCUGCUAAAGAAAAUACCAACAACCCGAUCAGCACAACAGGGCUAGUAACAACCACCCUACACAAUCGUAUUGCAGCAUUAAGCACAUAACCAGAUAAUUUUUAACUAAAGAUUUUGCAUUUUCUAGCAAGCCAAGAUACCAUCAGCCACCAAUUCUUUAAUCCUCCCAGACACGUUAGGCAUAGUAUAGCAAUCUCAACGUUAAAAUUUACUGCAUUUCGAGCAGACCAAAUAUAGUAAAUGGAUGUCGGAAUUCAAUCCUCCUAAACUCCAUUUCCAGCAGUUUUCACAAAGUUGUAUUGACACGAUCUUGUUUCAUUAAUGAUCUCACCCAGUAAUCAGAAAAUUUCCAUCAUCUAGAUGUCUGGUAAUCUUCUCAUACUUGUUCACCAUCGUUUAGUUUAAUUUUACUCUAUCAAAUAUAGCUGUUUUUCGCUUCUUCAUGCACUCAUAUUCGUCAAGCAAAGCCUUGACCUCGAUCCCAAUCAAGCUCCUCUACUUGGGAGAUUUUCUCUAGUUAAGGGGUUAAAAAGAAUUAU
rnacentral:lncRNA from 1 species